rnacentral:rRNA from 1 species
UGCCCGGUAGCUACAUGCGGAAGAGAUAAGUGCUGAAAGCAUCUAAGCACGAAACUUGCCCCGAGAUGAAUCUUCCCUGAGCCUUUAAGGCUCCUGAAGGAACGUUGAAGACGACGACGUUGAUAGGCCGGGUGUGUAAGCGCAGCGAUGCGUUGAGCUAACCGGUACUAAUGAACCGUGAGGCUUAACCUU